UCCCAAGAGUCAAAGGGAGUCUACGGAGAGAAGAGAACAAGACUGAGAAUUGAUCUUUGGGUUUAUCCAUUUAGGUGGAAUGAGGAGCAAGAGGAACUGGCAACAGAAGCUGAGAAGGAAGAGGAGGGGGAGACCAGAGGGAGAGAGAAGCCAAGGCUGCUGAGCGCCUCCAGGCAAAAAGAAGAGGAAGCUGAGGCUCAGGACAACCAAGUAGCCUGCCAAGUUCAUGCCACAGGCAAAGGACGGACCUGUAUUUGAAGGAGACAGGCCACUGAGUCCCCGGAGGAGGACAGAGUUAUAGGAUGACCCUGAAAGAUCCCAUGGAAGGUUGUCUACCAAGGAGGACACGUUGGACUUACCAUAAGUGAAUUUCUGUUGUAAGUCACUAGGAUUGCCAAAGCAUCCACUGCAGAAGCCCACGCUACUUUAACUGAUGUACCCUAUGAUAAAAAUUAAUGGACUGUUCACAGUGAACAAGUUAUUGUUAGUGGACCCUGAUGGCGGAAUUGCCACCUAGUUCUAAACUGCAUGUUUUCUCUCAAUCUGCGGGCCACAAGGAGGAAAUUCUCCUCUAAUUUAGGAAGAUGAUGGAGACCCAUUCUCCAUUUCUGUCUUCCAAGGGGAGUCAGCAAGACACAAAAAUAAUCAGAUUGCAUAAUCUUCAUUUAUUGGGAACCCAUCUGCUGUGGGGAUGAGCUCAUACCCUUGAGAAUGAAGAAAAUUUCCAGCUGAAGCUGGUUGGUGAGGCUUCCAAAAUAGACCAGCUGGUUUUCACCAGGUGCAGUGGUGGGUUAGGACAAUGCUUAGUGAAGAGUGUCCAGUGGUCAAGUAGCAUGGUCACCUUUAUUGUAAAUGAUGUAAAACACAUUACACUUAUCGGACACGUGAUUGUUCACUCUAAGAAAUUCAGUAUGCUUGUCCUCCUGUCUGCUGUCCCAACUCUGAGUCAGUAUAUACUGUUAGUCUUGCCUAUCCUGACACUCCCUUUGCCUAGUUAACCCCACCUGUCUUUAAGAUCUCUGUUUGUAUAUUGCUUAUUCAGGAAGCCUUCCCUGACAUCUCAGAACAGGUGAGUUCCCCUGGGUACCCUCCUAGGCCACCAGGUCCCUUUGUCCUCAAAGCACUGACCUCCAAUUUUAGUUUCCCGUGAGUUUCUGCAACGAUUCUAUUAACACUGUUGAGUGAAUGAAUGAUUGUCAGAUCUCCGCCAUUGAAACAGAACCUUUAUAAGAAUAGGGCACCAUGUUUUGUUUUGUUCACCAUCCCAUCUCCAGAACCUGGCAUAAUUUCUGGCACAUAGCAGCAGGUGUUCAUUCAUUAUUUGUUAGAUGAAUGAAUCAACACACGAGUGAGUGAAGAAACAGAUGAAUGAAUGAUCUUCACCUAAUUAAUGGAGAAGCUGAGGCAGACAUAUACUCUACCCAGCUUCACUGUAAAAGCUAGAAAUACCAUUUGGAAUCCUCGGCUUCAGCAGCUGCUGUUAGCCAUCCUCUUCCAAAUGACUCUGUUGAAAGAGACAGCUCUCAAUCAGCUGGCACUGCCAUAGCCCACCGUGGCCCCAGAACAAAUGUCACUAGCAUAGCUGCUGAGAUCCGUCCCUACAGAAGGCCAGCCACAACCUUUUCUGAGCCUCAAUGUGGUUCUUUAUUUAUAACACCUCCCAGGCGUGUCGAGAAUCGAAUAUAAGAGAAUGCAUUUGAAAGUACUCUGUAAACUAUAAAAAGAUACGCAUGCUUGUUUUUCUUGAAGUUAGGAAGUAUGCAAAAUUGUCUCUCAGUUGAUGGGAUUUUGAAAAGACCCAAGUUUGUGAAGAAUAGGACAUUUCAAGGCUAUUAGGCAAAGAUUCUCCAAUUACUUAAUCAUUUUUUCAAGGCAAUGGCAGGGAAAUUAGAUCCCGCAUAGUCUCCAUCAGUCCCACCCAAAGAAACCCUAAACAAGCAUGCAUUUUAAGUAAAACCCUGGCUACUCUCCUUCCAAUGGGAUUACCAUCUCCAGGCCCCACCUAAGUAGAAAUUUAGAAGCACUCACUAUUCAAAGAGAGUUUGAUGUUGGUCAAAAGCUAAAAUUCUGAAUUGAUUCCCAUCUAGAUUAGCACAUGUUGGGAGAGACUGACUCAAAGUGAGAGAUGGUGGGGGCCGGUCCAGUGGCACAGCAGUUAAGUGCGCAUGUUCCACUUUGGUGGCCUGGUUCUCUGGUUCGUAUCCCAGGUGCGGACAUGGCACCACUUGGCAAGCCAUGAUGUGGUAGGCAUCCCACAA